UGCUACCAACUACUUUUUUGGGUCUUGAUAUUUUCCUUUUACCUGACCUGGUGGCCAGCCAGCUACAAUGACAAAACAGUAGAAUUACAAACUCUCCCCAGGUGUGCCACUGAACUUCACCCAAGGUCAGAAUUGAUCUGUGGCAUGAACAUAGAAAUAAAUGAAGGUAGUGAUGAUGGCUGCCAAUUCUGACUCUCCUUGCCGGUACUUUGCUCAGUAUUUCAGCCUCCAAGUGGACAAGAAAUCUCUCCAUAAGUAGUUGGAAGAGCUUGUGUAUAUGGUUGUCAGCUGUGGAUACAGUGGGUAGAAUGAGGGUCCCUGCAAAAGAUAUAUCCAUGUCUUAACCCCAGAACUUGUGACUAUGACCUUACAGGAAAACGAUCUAAGAAGAUGUCAUGAGGUUUAGGAUCUUGAGAUGAGAUCAUUCUGGAU
rnacentral:lncRNA from 1 species